AUCAACCAAUCCAUCUCCAGUCUUUUUCAUCGGGACAGUACCCUCCAGUGUCCUUUUCGGUCCCCAACUGCCAGUGGCUACAGGUGGAGUAGUACCGUCAGAAGUGGGCCCUGGUCCAGCAGACUGUGGUGAAGUUGAGUCCAGGCCUUUUAUGUCUGAUGGAAGUGAGUCAGACAGAAGAAAAGAUGACGAUAAGGCCAAAGUCAAAGGUAGACCCUGGAAGUCAACAUCGACGGGCUCAAACAGGGAAUUCAACACUGCAAAACUAGAUCCGGGAAGUCUUUGCGAGGGCUGCGGGAGAUGCUGCACUGCUGUGUCCACGUCUAGCUGUUGUCUUUCCUUGACAUUUUCUCCAGUUGAGGCUACAGCAUGAAGCGAGAGAGGCAAGGAGAGGGGGAGGAGGAGAUACAGAUUCCACAGAGAGAGCAUGACAGUAGACACAUGGGACAGACCCCACCUCCUUCCAACAACCCCCCGCUGUCCCACUGCACCGAUCCGAAUGUGAGUUUGACUGUUUGCACGAUCCUGUCCUCCUAAAUCUGACACACCACACCGACAAUCGUCUAUUUGAUGGUUGCAUUGGAUCCUUACAGUCUCCACAUGCACUCAAAGAGAAGAGAAGAGAAGAAAAGAGAAAAGUAGAGAAAUAUGUCACAGGGGCGUUGGAGGGCUCAUCAACCAACAGGCACGCAUGCACUGAACUAAACAGUGCUAUAGAUCAAUACAUGCUGCCACUGAGUGUAAUUUACAACUGAUGAUGUGUCCUCCCUUCCAGAGCAGCCAUAACAUCAGCAGCUCUGUUUGCAACAUGUCACAGCAGAGGAUGAUGCAGAAUACUCUCUUUGAAUAGCAUUCAUGGAUAAUGCACGAUAGUGGUUACUUGUGUACGUAUGAACAUACAGCACCUCUAAACAUAUAGCACAUGCACUUUUUUUAGCAAGAAACUGCUAAACUGUGACCUUGUUUCCAAGUCAGUUAUUAGGGCAAAUGUUGCCACCAGCGAUCUCUGUCUGAUGAGGACAUGUUAGUCACUUUCUUUAUUUUCCACCUUCCAACGUUAUCAGACUUGUUCACACUGUUUUUACCCAAUAGGGGGAAUCUAGUAGCCUCAUGGCCUAAUUCAAUUCCCAGGGAUGGUUCUAAAAUAGACGCUGAUCCACAUACCUUUGGAUGCAUUUAGUGAAGGUGUUUAAAGCACAGUCACACAUUGUGUACAUUUUGUUGUAAGGAACUGAAAAGUUAUGUUAAGCCGGGGUUAUUGUGUUUGAAUUCUGCCAAAUGCAUAUUGAUUCUUUUUCUAUCAAAAAAAGUAUUGAUUUGACUGCCUCACAAAAAAAACUGUCCAAAUAUUUAUUGUAAAACUCACAUUCAUAAAGGCUUAUUCUGAAUACAUAGAAUAUUGACAGCAAAUAAAAAGUCAUUUAUAACACUGUGAUUCCCAUAGUCUGAAAGUCAAGGCUAUUUCAGAUCAGUCAGUGGUGAAGACAGCAACUUCCAGAGGGGGGUGAACAACCUGAUGUCUGAUGAGGACACAGGAAAGCAUCAACCGAGCCGUAACUAAAGGGACUGGAAAGGAACAAUGACAGGCCAAACAUAUGAGCUCAGUGAGCGACGUGGCCAAAUUAUUGCCGCCUCACACUCGCUAUCCUAACUCAUUGGGCAACUGGUCUCUGUUUAGACAAGUCAUCCUCCAACAAGACAAAGUCAGCAGGGACCGGGGUCCAGCUGGGAAUGUAGACAAUCAGGACAAGACACAGAAACAAAGCUGCACAAGCAAAGAGGGGGAUAAAAGCAAGCCAUGACCCUGGUUAGGAUAAAGAGUGUAGAUGAGUUUUAUGAUGAGUCCUGAGGUGCAGAGCUUAACACUCAGGCCUCAAGGAGGUUCUGGCCUCCAACCUGUGUGCUGAGGCCUUUCUGUGUUGAUUUUGCAUGUUCAAAUCUAAAUUACCCAUAGAUGUGAUCGUGAGCAUGAAUUUCAGUCAGUGUAGAAUACAAGGUAAGAUGAACUUCAUUGAACCCACGUCGGGGAAAUGCACUUGUUAUAGCAGCAGUUAGUCAGAAUGAGGUAAACACGAGAACGUGUGAAGGUAUAAAAUAGAGUAAAAUAGGCCUUAACAAUAGAAUAAAAAUACAGUGAAUAUGUACAUACUAUAUAACAGGCAAGAAACCUAUUCGAAGAUUCUCGAGGAUGUGUACUGUAUUUAUGCAUUGUGUAAAAGGAGAUAUUGAAAUAAACAUAUACAUAUAUGCAUUCAUAAA